rnacentral:tRNA from 4 species
UGGGGUGUCGUUCAACGGUAGGACUGCCGACUCUGGAUCGGCCGAUUGGGGUUCGAAUCCCUGCACCCCAGCCA